GGUAGUAGGAGGGAAACAUGAAUGCGUGAAUUUGAUUUUGAUUUCCUCACUCGUGAGAUUGAUGAGCGAGACUUUUACUAUAGGAGAGACAACCAUCACAAUCACUUAUCAAGCAAGGUGAUAAAAUAUGAAAAAAUAUGUGAUGUCAAUCAGUAUGUUUUUAUACCAUUUGCGUUCAACACUUUAAGUUCCUAGAACGAGAGGCUGCAGAUCUUCUCCAAAGAGUUCAAAUGGUUAUGUAUAACAAUUUUGUGUUCCUUGGGUCUAUAGAAGUAGUAGUUUUUAAUAUGACUGGUUUUGCCAUCUAAAAAGAGUUAGCGGCGCAACUUGUUGUACACUUGCCUUUUAUUUUUGUGUAACUUUCUAAAUAAAAAGUAAUUGUUAUAAAUAUUAUAAGUGGAAUGUGAAUGUCCACAACCCUUGUGUUUAUCUCUUUAGUGAUACAUUUGCUUAACUCCCAAGUCACAUUUUUCCAGUACUUAUCUCUUAAGUACUUAACUCUUAAGUCAUAUCAUUAUACUUCUCUAUAAAUAUAGAUCAUAUGUAACAUAUUGUACACCACAAGAUAAUAAUAUAAUCCUCUUUCUUCUCUCUCUAUUCUCUCUUCUUCUCUUUAAUCUUGUUAUUCUUAUUCAUAUUCUAAUAGUUUCAUAACAAUAAUAUUAUUAUAAAUUAUAAUUUUAAUAAUAUUAAAAAAACAACUGGAAAUUGAGCAUGACAAGACACCAAUGCUAAAUAAUAAAACCCUUAAAGUAUGCAUGUUGCUUGAUUUAUGUAAGCAAAAUAAGAUUUUAUUGAGUUUGAAACCACACUUCAAUUUAUGGGUUUUAUUUCUUCUAGUAUUAGGGGGUUUUUGCUUUCAAUUUGUUAUAUGAGAGAAGAAGGAAGAAGAUGAAGCUGACAUGGAUGUUCUGAAUUGAUAUUAUUUAAAUUUCCGUAAGUAAUAUGGUUAACAACCACAUGUAUUUUUACAAUUUAAUUUCUUAAAGUUGUUAACCAUGCAAACAAAAUGUAAUAUAAAAUACUCAAAAAUUUAAAAAAUCAAUCGAGGAAAUUGAGCAAACUUAAAGUACCACAAAUGUAUUUUUUGCUUUAUAUAUAUUUUUUUGCAAUAUUUGAAUCAUAAAAUAUUUUUAGGUUUAAAUGUGUCAUUGGUCCCUGCACUUUCAUCAGAUUUUGACAUUGGUCCCUGCACUUUGUAAAAAUAUUGGUAUUGGUCCCUCUGUUAACUUUCUGUUAAAAAAAAAAACACAAAACCAACGGAGUGCCACGUGGCCCAAUCAUUUCACGCCACGUGGCACUAAUAUCAAUAUUUUUACAAAGUGCAGGGACCAAUAUCAAUAUUUUUACAAAGUGCAGAGACCAAUUCCAAACAAAAAAUGUGUAGGGACCAAUGCCAAAAGCUAAUGAAAGUGCAAGGACUAAAGACAUAUUUAAACCAUAUUUUUAUGAUGUGUUAAUUUUAGAUUCAUUGACAAUAUAUAAAUUUAAAAUAUUUAAAUCGACAUCAUGAAAAAAAUGAAACUUUAAAUUUAAAGGCAUCUUCAAUUUUUUUAUUCUCUAAUAAUAAACAAAAUUUAUCCAAGGUACUUUAAUUUAGAGUAAAGUAAAAAAAGAUGUAAUAAAAUAUAGACUUACGAGAAGUUAAGAGAAUAACGAGGAAAAAACAAAUGCUAACGAUUGAUUUCCUCUCCAUUAUUAUUGUUUUCAAAGCUGACAUGUGUUGCUAUUUUUAUAGAGCCCUUGAAGUUAAACUUGAAAGAACAUUUCAACCAUCGAUCAACAUGAAAAGUCACCACAAGUUGGAUGCAAUUCAUUAGCCUAUGUUUGGAUAUAAUUCAAUAUUUAUCACUUCUCAAUGUAAAAGGUCGUGACUUUUCAGAACUACAACAUGUAUAUUUAAACUAGACACAAACAUGAAGUACCCCCAACAUAAAUUUUAAUUAAGAUCAUAGUUGUUGUUUUUCUUAAAAUUAAUAUUUUAGUUGCUCUAUGACACAAUUGAAGUUCUACUUAAUUUCUCCAUGUAAAGGUUAUGUUUAGUGACAUGAAUAAGUAAAGGAAAUACUACUAUAAAAGUCAAUUGCCAGUAGAUUUUGUGCUUGUAAUAAUGAAAUGUUGAGACAUAGCAAUAAAGUUAUGUGUUUUGAGAAAAUCAAAGUUUAUUGCAGCUAAUUGU
rnacentral:lncRNA from 1 species